rnacentral:rRNA from 1 species
AUUGAACGCUGGCGGCAGGCCUAACACAUGCAAGUCGAGCGGCAGCGGGAAAGUAGCUUGCUACUUUUGCCGGCGAGCGGCGGACGGGUGAGUAAUGCCUGGGAAAUUGCCCAGUCGAGGGGGAUAACAGUUGGAAACGACUGCUAAUACCGCAUACGCCCUACGGGGGAAACCAGGGGACCUUCGGGCCUUGCGCGAUUGGAUAUGCACAGGUGGGAUUAGCUAGUUGGUGAGGUAAUGGCUCACCAAGGCGACGACCCCUAGCUGGUCUGAGAGGAUGAUCAGCCACACUGGAACUGAGACACGGUCCAGACUCCUACGGGAGGCAGCAGUGGGGAAUAUUGCACAAUGGGGGAAACCCUGAUGCAGCCAUGCCGCGUGUGUGAAGAAGGCCUUCGGGUUGUAAAGCACUUUCAGCGAGGAGGAAAAGUUGAUGCCUAAUACGUAUCAACUGUGACGUUACUCGCAGAAGAAGCACCGGCUAACUCCGUGCCAGCCGCCGCCGUAA